CUCAGUCGACGGCAGUGUGGCGUCUGGGACGCUGAGCUCGGCGUCUCUGCUGACAGGAACUUGGUCUCCUCAGGACUCGCUGGGGUUUUGGCUUCACGACAACACGGGGCCGUGUCCACGCUGACGGGAGCUGGGUUUCCUGAGGUCGCAGGCGACGCCGGGAGGAAAAGGCUCAGUUCAACUUUCACCAUCUGGCCCAAAGCAUGAAAAUGUUCUUAAAGAAGUUGCCUCACUUUCACAACCUUGAUGGAUUUAAAGCACACAAGGUCAAGGCCUGCAUUAUGGAUCUUACACCUUCCUAGAAAUAUGAAACAUUGGAAUCAUCCUCCUAUUUAAGGCCUAAAAAGAGCUGCUAUCCCAGGACGCCUAAAUUAAAGAAUCCUAAUACCGACAGGACCAGGCCUAUGUUGUGGACAAGAGAGUUCGUUUUCCUGUGUUCAAAGACAGGACAGAGGGAUAUGGAUGAGAUAUGGGGUGAGUCUGGAGCCCAUGGGGGAUGUACUCUCCAAGCUCCAAGAUGGGAAUGGGGCCUCGGGGGUCCCAGGCCACCCGGCGUGCCCUCCCGAGCAGGAUCUUGGCAACAUUCCCUGUCAGUGAUGAGGCGGCCUGAGCACCUGUCACGGCCCCAAUGCUGUGACCUAUGUGGGCCCCAAGCUCUUGGGACCACACCCCACACUCUGUGGGUCAGCCCUGUAGGAUCUUCCCUGCCACAGGAGCAGCGACCACCCAGCAAGCAGGCCCCUCCCAGGAGCCCAGGACAGCAAUGACGCAGAUGAGGCAGAGCCCAAGAAAUGGGACCAGAGGGCCCAACAGGCAGCUGGUCAGGUCCCGGCUCAUCUGCACCCUGGACACCCUUGUCCCUCGUACACCCCCUUCCUCAUACAGCCUCCCGAAAUACAGAUUCUUCAGAUGCAAAGAGGCAGAGCUUCAGACUGAAAGUCAGCUCUUCCAAAAUGACCCAUCAGCGAACACUGCAGGAUUCCACUCAGAUGGGGCCCCUGGUGUCGACAACUCAUGGACCAAAGUGGACGUCGGUGCCGGGGCUGUCGGAAGGGGUGGGGAGUGGAACGUUGUGGAAUUUGGUUUGGCAAGAUGAAAAGUUCUAGGGAUGGUGGUGAUGGCUCCACAAGAAGGUGAAUAAAUCUGAUGCCUCAGAAACGUGCACUUAAAAUGGUGAAGGGUAUGUGACGUGUGUUAUUCUGCUUAAAAUAAAUUUUAAAAAUGAUUUCUUGUUAAUUGAGAUUCCAUUUCGACUCCCCUUCAUCACAAAUGUCGGAGGCCCAAACAUAGUCCCCCACCUUAGGGACCAUCAUGGUACCCGCACAGAGCACAUGGGGGACCAUUCUUAGGGGGAGCUAGUCUGUGCUCACCUGAGCUUUGUCCAGGGGGACCCAGGCAGUGGUGACCCCCAUGGAUUAGAUACAUGGUAUGCUA